UUCCCUCUCUCCGUUCUUUUUGCUGUUGCCUUAAGACUCGUUUAAGUGAAUUUUCUUGAGCAAUUUGUAGUAAAAGUAUUUCUUGGUCUUUCAAAUUUGGAUUCUGGUUGAGCUCAUUGGCAAUCUCUGAUGCGCAUAAAUAAGCAUUCUUAGCUAACGUCUGUACUGACGAAUUGUGUAUAGUUGUAAGGUGGCUUAUAAAAGAAAUCGAGUCACCAGCAAAUUCACAAUCAAAAGGGCAUCGAAUUAUUAUAGCAUCGUCGGAACUCAUUCUAGUCGGUGUUCUUGAAAUUCAUUG